rnacentral:lncRNA from 13 species
GCCCGGGGGUGGAGCCCUUCUCCAACCGUGGCGGCAAAAGCAGCCCGGGACCUCAGGCACAGGCGCAGAGGCGCGCGGGGCCCGGCCCGUCAAUUAGGGAGGGCCUCCGGAAGGAGGUGGCCCGGCCCGCAGCCCGCCCGGCGCACCUGCUCCCUCCUCACCUGCCGCACGACGCGGUCCCCUCCCUGCAGCCACCUGCCCUGGGGAGAGGAACCUCGGUCCCCAGCAUCGCGACCCCUCCAGCCUCGCGGGUCCCAACCGGUGUCCCUGAGCGUGUCCCGGGAAGCGCACGUCCACGCUGGCGCUGAAAGGGGUUUUCUGGCUCCAGGGACGGGACGCGCCCUAGACAGUCCCGCUCAGACGGGGCUGCGCGCCCGACCUCACCCGGGUGCGGACGCCGCUGCCUCCGCCCUGCGCGCCGAGGGCCCAGUUCAACUCUUCCCGCCAGUAGGGCUGGCGACCCCCGACCCGCCCUCUGCCAGGUGCAGGACUUUAAACCCCCCAACCCCCAUCUCUCAGCCUGGCGGGGGAGGGGAAGUCGCCGGGCUUCGGUGCUUCCUGCUCGCCCGCCCCCGCCGCUCUCUCUUCCGCCUUCUUGUUUUGUGCCUGGCCUCUCGGCUCCUUCCACGGGGAGAGGUUUCCGUAUGUUUUACGCUUUUGUCCACGUCGUUCUCUACCUCUUGGCUGAAGGAAUGCCAGCCUGCAGGGUACCGUCCGGGGCCCCGUCUCCCGGCGCCUCUGGCCUCCUCCGCGCGCCUGAGGCGGUGGGGGUCUAAGCAGACCACAGACUGGGGCGCCGGGAGGAGGGUGCCCCGCUGCCCUGUCCAGCAGCCUCAGCCAGGCCCUUCCGGGGGCGCCUCUGCAGAAAGGGGGUCACGUCCCCUCUGGGCCCUACCUUACCCUGAGACCCCUAAACCAGGGGCCCCACCCGAAAUCAGGGCCUCUUUGGGUCACCUGGCUUGUGGGGAUCAGGGAGGGAGAGUUUUGGGCUGGGGGGUUGUGGGGAAAGCAGGGGCCCUGGGUCCAACCCUCGGCUGCGUGGCGCGGCCUUUUCCAGACCCGCUGCCCCAGACUCCGGGCCAGACGCCACUGCCAAGGCUGACGAGCUCAGAGCCCGAGCCGCAGGCUGCCUUGGUUUCCCGGCUGCGGCUCCUCAGUGCCAGUGUUAGGCAAACAGGCUGCGCCAGCGCCCUCGCCUCUAGACCGCUGAGGGAGGAAGGCCAGGUGGGGGUGGGCUGGGGCUGGCCCGGAGGGUAG